rnacentral:rRNA from 1 species
UACGUAGGCAGCGAGCGUUGUUCGGAAUUACUGGGCGUAAAGAGUGUGUAGGCGGUGCUCUAAGUUCGGUGUGAAAUCUCCCGGCUUAACUGGGAGGGUGCGCCGGAAACUGGAGUGCUCGAGCGUGGGAGAGGAAAGCGGAAUUCCUGGUGUAGCGGUGGAAUGCGCAGAUAUCAGGAGGAACACCAAUGGCGAAGGCAGAUCUCUGGGCCGUAACUGACGCUGAGGAGCGAAAGCAUGGGGAGCGAACAGG